AAUUAAGAAUCAAAAACAGCUUUGCGAUAUUCAGGAACCACCUCCUUCGCCGGACCAAUCUCCCUUGGCCCGGCUUUUU
rnacentral:sRNA from 1 species